rnacentral:lncRNA from 1 species
GACUAAAAGCCGAAGGUACUCGAGAGGAAACCAGCUCUCCUGGUUGGUCCAGGAACCUGUCCCUGGAGUCUGAUAAAGAUCCAUGGACUGCCAGUGGAGCUGCAUAGCGGAGGGCUUGCUUAGCGUUCACCAGGCCCUAGGUUUGGCUGUAAGCAGCGCCACAAGACAGACAAAACUAACAACCAAACUAGGACUUAAUGCCUGCUCUGACUGAGCCACGCAACAUCUUUGGUUGUUCUGCCACUGUUUCUCCAGCCUUUUGGAUCCAGGGAAUUUAGAUGGUAACUCUCUCCUUUCUCUAAGUACGACGUUAAAGUUCUCAUGUUUUGCAAGUCGCCCCAGGGUUGCUGGGUUGAUGAAGGUCAAUUGUCAAAGAGCAGAUGGAUGGAUUCACUGAGAGAGUAAGAAGGAGCUGCAAGGAGCUCUUCCAAUUACCGGAUGCCCCUUCUGCCUACCUUUUGCAUUCUAUUAAUUCAGAAAAAGCGGUUAAAAACCCUUCCACCUUAUUCUUUUAAGAGGACAGAAGACAUGAAAACCGCUUGAACCGAAACCGAAAACACUAAGGGCACAGCUCUUGACCACACAGAAAAAGGAACCUGAGAGAGAACCUUAUUCCGACAGACUAGCAUUUCGGACACUUCCCCCAAGACCGCACUGGGAUAGCCCGUAGUCCUUACGUCUCGGUGGGGCAUUCUACUCUCACAUCACCCCCCACGCAGGACGGCAGUGGGUCAGUCCACGGAUCUCUUCCCCCUCGUGGAAGUGGGUCAGUCCCCCCAGUCCCCUGUCCCCCGCAGGAUGUGCGGGAUUUCUUCCAAGCUGUUACCGGCUCACCUUUGAUCUUGCCUUUUCGCCACCGCCUGCGACUGCGGUUCUUCGAUCCUUCUUUGGCCUGCUUGGAGGCCUGGGCCCCCACGGGCGCCGAUUCCACGGCCGGCUCCAUCAAUUCUUUCUAGUCCUGGCGCGGGGCCCAAUUCCAGCGAUCAAGUCCCUCUCUUAGAGUCAAUCCUAGUUACACACCACUGCCCGGCCCCUAGACCAUCCAAUCCUGGGCAGGCUCCUCGCGGAGCUCCGCCUUUAAUGGGUGGGGCUGAAGGUCUUGGCCCGCCCAUCCGCUCAGAUUAAAGGAACCGCGCAGUGCACCGCAACGACAGACAAAAAAAAAAAACAAACAAAAAAAAAACAAAAAAAAAAAACAAAAAAAUCCGCAGUCCUGGAGGCGGCGAGAAGUGCCCUCACAGCAGGAAUAGUGAGGAGUCGCGUUAGAGUCACCCCAACAAAGAAUUCUCAGUCAUCUCGUGCAGAAUCAAAGGGAUGCAGGGCAGGGAAAGGGGAAGACAGCAACACCGCCGGCCUCAGGGUUGAUCUCCAGAAAGGAGCGUAAGUCGAGGGAGCCCACGUGCCACGGAAAAGGCGGGAAACAGAGGAGGCCCGAGACUCGCACAUGCGCACAUGGCUCACUGUGCUCCCAGUUGCUUCUGGGUUGCCCAUGCCAGAAGCUUCUGGAAGCCGGCUGCCCUGGGAGGAUUAAGCCUCGAUUUUCUUCUUGACAGGGACUGGGUUCUAUGGCUGUUACCUGCCAUUGCUUCGGAGAGGCGGCAAGGAAGAAGCGCCACAGCUCACCAGCACUUCACUGCGCUGUUUCCAUUCCGCCUGGAUCUUGCCACAGACCUCUGCAGCCCCCGCUCCCAAGCUUCUCUACCCCCUGAAACCUAGUCUGAGACCCUGCAGAGGCACCGGGCGGCAGGGAAGGCAGAUGUGUAAUCAAGGAAUGACAUAUACUUCAUAAACCUAGAGGUACAAGUGCAGUCAACGUUCUAAGGUUGUGGAGGUUCACUGGGGACUGAAAUGGUGAUUAGGGGCAACAAGAUGACUCAGUGAAUAAGGUGCUUGCUGCCAAGUCUGAUGACCUGAUUUGAUCCCUGGGACUCAUGAGGAAGAAGAGAACUGACUCUUGCAAGUUGUCCUUUGACAUCUAUACAUUGACUGUGGCAUAAAUACAAACAUACAUACAUACAUACAUACACAGACAAAGUCAAUAACUAAUAAUAUAUAAAAAAUGCACACACAGGGAAAUGUAACUAAUGGAGAAAUACAGAGCUGUUUGGAUCUUGAAAAGAAUUUUCUAUGAAACUGCAAUCUCUUUACUUUCUUUGAUAGGUGGCUGUUGAGGGUGUGGAAAGAGAAAGAUUUGUGAGAGAUGGCCUAGAGCCAAGGUUUUGUCCGAUGUUCUCACACUAAGCCUGCUCUACCACACCCAGGUACCAAGAAAGAAAGCUGGAGUUUUCCUCCUUAAUGCUUUAUAAUGCUGUUUGGUGACUUCAUCCUUCUUCUUCUUCUUUUUUAAUCCUACUUCCGUAGAUACUUAUUUAGUUUGCUGUCACUUAAUAAAAUGAAGAAGGGCAGGGUAAAUAAAAACUUCCUGGACCUC